rnacentral:rRNA from 1 species
UUCGAUUAACGCGAAGAACCUUACCCAGGCUUGAACUGCAGAUGACAUCCUACGAAAGUAGGCUUCCGCAAGGACAUCUGUAGAGGUGCUGCAUGGCUGUCGUCAGCUCGUGUCGUGAGAUGUUGGGUUAAGUCCCGCAACGAGCGCAACCCUUGUCUCCUGUUGCCAUCGGGUUAUGCCGGGCACUCUGAAGAGACUGCCGGUGACAAACCGGAGGAAGGUGGGGAUGACGUCAAGUCAGCAUGGCCUUUAUGUCUGGGGCCACACACGUGCUACAAUGGCCGGUACAAACCGUCGCGAGCCCGCAAGGGGGAGCUAAUCGGAGAAAGCCGGUCUCAGUUCGGAUUGCAGGCUGCAACUCGCCUGCAUGAAGUUGGAAUCGCUAGUAAUCGCGGAUCAGCACGCCGCGGUGAAUACAUUCCCGGGCCUUGUCACACCGAAUCACUA